rnacentral:rRNA from 1 species
GGCGAGUGGUGAAGGUGAACCCACUUUAUUAUGUGAGAUCCGUCAGUUUGGUAGGCGAGGUCCGGUUUGACGGACAUAUUUCGCCACCGGCCUGUUCUUUCUUCGAGUGGUUCUUUGAUGCGGUGGCGGCUCGUUUGUUCGUUCGUGGCACGUCUCCGCCGGUCGUCGUCUUUGUUCGGCCCUCGCUGCUACCGACGCCGCCGCCCACGCCCCUCGCCGCCGCCGCCGCACCACUUCGUGGAGCAGUAGCACGUCAAGUUCCUCCUGCACUGGGGCCUCGCCGACCUUCCCGAGUAGGCGCCGAUGCGGCCGGAGCAGCUGUUCCAGGGGAGGUACUUCCGGAAGGUGACCCCUUGGCUACACUCGUAUCUCUUGUACGUAGUCCCUAAGUGUGUGCAGAAGCUCAGGUGAAAACUUUCGUGUCUCCCUCAGUUCCUCAUGCAAAUGGUGGGUCGCGUGCAGCUCAAACGUUGACUAAAGAACCCAAGUUGCCUCUUUCAGGAGUAUUAGCUGAAGUUUGGGUGUCGACCGUUGAUUACCAAAGCCGGUUUAAAUGAACAACACGACCUCCCACACGCGGGUACCGACAACAGCACCAGCUUGCCUCUUGGUAUUUACAAGGGAUCCGUCUCCCUUGACGUGACGAAACGAUAACGAACAAGUUUUGUUCCUCGACGAGACGAAAAGCGCACUAAAGUUGAUCCAGUACUUUAGUGGCCGUAGAAGUAAAGGAGACCACUUAACGGCGACCUUAUGUGAUACUUAGUACGUAUAUUACAAAUAGUUUGACAAAAC